rnacentral:rRNA from 1 species
CGUAGGGACCAAGCGUUGUUCGGAUUUACUGGGCGUAAAGGGCGCGUAGGCGGCUUGACAAGUCACUUGUGAAAUCUCCGGGCUUAACUCGGAACGGCCAAGUGAAACUGUCAUGCUAGAGUGCAGAAGGGGCAAUCGGAAUUCUUGGUGUAGCGGUGAAAUGCGUAGAUAUCAAGAGGAACACCUGAGGUGAAGACGGGUUGCUGGGCUGACACUGACGCUGAGGCGCGAAAGCCAGGGGAGCAAACGGG